UUUUUAACAGUGUGUUGAUUGACUGGACAAUGUUCAGUUUUUUGUAAUAAAUGGUUUUUAAAAAAAAAAAAAAAAAAAAAAAAAGAAAAAAAAAAUUCUCUCUCUCUCUCUGAUCUACAUCUGUCUCUGUGUGAUGAAGACACGUGUGUGUGAAUGAGACUCUUUAUUGAUCAGGAUGCUGUAUAUGAAGCUGUUGUGUGUAUGGAGAUGUGAAUCUGAUCUGUAGUUAGUGUCUCGUUCACUCUCUGAUCUACAUCUGUCUCUGUGUGAUGAAGAAUGAGACUCUUUAUCUGAUUGUGUUACAGAUCCGAUUGGAUGGGGCUGUGUGAUGGUGUUUCUGCAGAUACUCUGGACUGUUAUGUACUUCACAGAUGUUGCUGCUGAUGAUACAUACUACUUUGAUUUCAGUUUGUCUCGAGAUUUCCAGCGUUAUGUUUCUGUGUAUGUGUUUGGAUCAGUGGCUGUAGUUUUACUGAACUCUGCUGCAUUAAUAACUGAACUGAUCCUCAAAACAGUGAACGGUGAUCGUAUGAUGGCAGAUCUGAGGUUCAUCGUCUUUCCUUCUGAAUGUUUAUUUGCUGUAUCUCUGCUGAUUUCUGGAUUCUCAGGAUCCAAGAUCGCAGGCUGUCUGAAGUCUUGUCAGACCAAGGUGAGAUCUAUACGAGUCAGAAGAUCAUCACAGCAGAACCAGAGCACAGAGAUGAAUCCUCUGAAUGCUGGAGAUCAGGAGCAGAAUCAGCCGGAUUCAGUGCUGGCUCAGACAUGA
rnacentral:lncRNA from 1 species